ACGAGCGGCGGACGGGUGAGUAACACGUGGGCAACCUGCCUGUAAGACUGGGAUAACUCCGGGAAACCGGGGCUAAUACCGGAUAAUACAUUGGACCACAUGGUCCAGUGUUGAAAGAUGGCUUUUAGCUAUCACUUACAGAUGGGCCCGCGGCGCAUUAGCUAGUUGGUGAGGUAACGGCUCACCAAGGCCACGAUGCGUAGCCGACCUGAGAGGGUGAUCGGCCACACUGGGACUGAGACACGGCCCAGACUCCUACGGGAGGCAGCAGUAGGGAAUCUUCCGCAAUGGACGAAAGUCUGACGGAGCAACGCCGCGUGAGUGAGGAAGGCCUUCGGGUCGUAAAACUCUGUUGUUAGGGAAGAACAAGUACUGUUCGAAUAGGUCAGUACCUUGACGGUACCUAACCAGAAAGCCACGGCUAACUACGUGCCAGCAGCCGCGGUAAUACGUAGGUGGCAAGCGUUGUCCGGAAUUAUUGGGCGUAAAGCGCGCGCAGGCGGUUCCUUAAGUCUGAUGUGAAAGCCCACGGCUCAACCGUGGAGGGUCAUUGGAAACUGGGGAACUUGAGUGCAGAAGAGGAGAGCGGAAUUCCACGUGUAGCGGUGAAAUGCGUAGAUAUGUGGAGGAACACCAGUGGCGAAGGCGGCUCUCUGGUCUGUAACUGACGCUGAGGCGCGAAAGCGUGGGUAGCGAACAGGAUUAGAUACCCUGGUAGUCCACGCCGUAAACGAUGAGUGCUAGGUGUUAGGGGUUUCCACCCUUAGUGCUGCAGUUAACGCAAUAAGCACUCCGCCUGGGGAGUACGGCCGCAAGGCUGAAACUCAAAGGAAUUGACGGGGGCCCGCACAAGCGGUGGAGCAUGUGGUUUAAUUCGAAGCAACGCGAAGAACCUUACCAGGUCUUGACAUCUUCGGACCACCCUAGAGAUAGGGUUUUCCCUUCGGGGACCGAAUGACAGGUGGUGCAUGGUUGUCGUCAGCUCGUGUCGUGAGAUGUUGGGUUAAGUCCCGCAACGAGCGCAACCCUUGACCUUAGUUGCCAGCAUUCAGUUGGGCACUCUAAGGUGACUGCCGGUGACAAACCGGAGGAAGGUGGGGAUGACGUCAAAUCAUCAUGCCCCUUAUGACCUGGGCUACACACGUGCUACAAUGGAUGGUACAAAGGGCAGCGAAACCGCGAGGUGGAGCAAAUCCCAUAAAGCCAUUCUCAGUUCGGAUUGUAGGCUGCAACUCGCCUACAUGAAGCCGGAAUCGCUAGUAAUCGCGGAUCAGCAUGCCGCGGUGAAUACGUUCCCGGGCCUUGACACACCGCCCGUCACACCACGAGAGUUGGUAACACCCGAAGUCGGUGAGGUAACCUU
rnacentral:rRNA from 1 species